AAAACAUUUGGGCCUUCGGUCUACCAAAAAAAUAUCACCCGCUCGGUGGAAGAUCUUCCCUUUGUCGU
rnacentral:pre_miRNA from 1 species